UACGGAGGGGGCUAGCGUUGUUCGGAAUUACUGGGCGUAAAGCGCACGUAGGCGGCUUUGUAAGUCAGAGGUGAAAGCCCGGAGCUUAACUCCGGAAUUGCCUUUGAGACUGCAUCGCUUGAAUCCAGGGGAGGUGAGUGGAAUUCCAGGUGUAGCGGUGAAAUGCGUAGAUAUCUGGAGGAACACCGGUGGCGAAGGCGGCAUCCUGGACCAACACUGACACUGAGGAGCGAAAGCCAGGGGAGCAAACGGG
rnacentral:rRNA from 1 species